rnacentral:misc_RNA from 1 species
AAGUCGUAACAAGGUUUCCGUAGGUGAACCUGCGGAAGGAUCAUUAUUACGUAUCCAACGUAUAAACCCAACGUGAACUGUAUUUCGCUCAGAGUUUGAGGCAAUGGCUGGUCACAUUAAAGUCUCUUUGUUAGUGAUAGAGACUGUGAUUCGUGCCGCUACAGCGGGCACCUAGUGCCUUAUGUGGGCCUUUUACUCUGUGGCUGAUUAUCACUAACUACAAUUAUUAUUAACCCUUUGCACUAUGCAUUGAACUAAUAAUGUUUCUCGCUUUGUGGACUCUAACGAGAACACGGGCUUGAAAUUUAAUUACGUAACUUGAACAACUCUUAGCAACGGAUGUCUUGGCUCUC